rnacentral:rRNA from 1 species
UCAGGCCUAACACAUGCAAGUCGUACGGUAACAUGGAGUGCUUGCACUCUGAUGACGAGUGGCGCACGGGUGCGCAACGCGUAUAGAACCUACCCUCUACAGGGGGAUAGCCCGGAGAAAUCCGGAUUAAUACCCCGUAGUCCAGUGAUAUUGCCUGAUAUUAUUGGUAAAGCUUUUAGUGGUAGAGGAUGGCUAUGCGUCCUAUUAGCUAGUAGGUGAGGUAACGGCUCACCUAGGCGACGAUAGGUAGGGGCCCUGAGAGGGGGAUCCCCCACACUGGUACUGAGACACGGACCAGACUCCUACGGGAGGCAGCAGUGAGGAAUAUUGGACAAUGGGCGGAAGCCUGAUCCAGCCAUGCCGCGUGCAGGAAGACAGCCCUAUGGGUUGUAAACUGCUUUUAUACAGGAAGAAUAAUACCCACGUGUGGGUAGAUGACGGUACUGUAAGAAUAAGGACCGGCUAACUCCGUGCCAGCAGCCGCGGUAAUACGGAGGGUCCGAGCGUUAUCCGGAAUCAUUGGGUUUAAAGGGUCCGUAGGCGGGGGACUAAGUCAGAGGUGAAAUGGUGCGGCUCAACCGUAGCACUGCCUUUGAUACUGGUUUUCUUGAGUCGUAUUGGAGUGGCCGGAAUAUGUAGUGUAGCGGUGAAAUGCAUAGAUAUUACAUAGAACACCGAUCGCGAAGGCAGGUCACUAAGU